GGUCUUCCAUCAAUGGCCUCAACUGCAAUGGGUCUAUCUUUCUGCCUUAAUGGCAGGAGAUGUUUAGCAGAGAAUUCUCUAUCAAGGAAAUUCUCCGCUGCCCCAGAGUUGUUCAUGGCCUCACACUGAAUAGUAGUUUUCUUACAGUUCAGAGUAAUUUUCACAAGGCAACGGUUCUUAGUCAAUUUGGGGGACAUAUACAUCACACCUAAGGUCGGUCCCCGAACGUGACUUAUGUGCGCAUGUUUUCCGGCCGAGCCGGACACGAGGCCCUUAGAUUUCCCUUCCUCCCACAAUAAAGACACAACCCCUCGUUUCGUCUGUACUGUCUCUCUGCCUCAGUAAGCUUAGUUAUGCCCAACUGAAUGGACUGGGUUGGAAAAACGAGGGGCUAUAGAUAGGUUGGCACGUAUUGUGCGUUGUUUGUUCCUCUCUCUCUCCCUCAAUCUAUUAUCAAUGUCAAUCAUG